GUGGGGAAUAUUGGACAAUGGGCGAAAGCCUGAUCCAGCCAUGCCGCGUGUGUGAAGAAGGUCUUCGGAUUGUAAAGCACUUUAAGUUGGGAGGAAGGGCAGUAAGUUAAUACCUUGCUGUUUUGACGUUACCGACAGAAUAAGCACCGGCUAACUUCGUGCCAGCAGCCGCGGUAAUACGAAGGGUGCAAGCGUUAAUCGGAAUUACUGGGCGUAAAGCGCGCGUAGGUGGUUUUGUAAGUUGGAGGUGAAUUCCCCGGGCUCAACCUGGGAACUGCCUCCAAAACUGCAUGACUAGAGUACGGUAGAGGGUAGUGGAAUUUCCUGUGUAGCGGUGAAAUGCGUAGAUAUAGGAAGGAACACCAGUGGCGAAGGCGACUACCUGGACUGAUACUGACACUGAGGUGCGAAAGCGUGGGGAGCAAACAGGAUUAGAAACCCGUGUAGUCC
rnacentral:rRNA from 1 species